rnacentral:rRNA from 1 species
UACGUAGGGGGCAAGCGUUGUCCGGAUUUAUUGGGCGUAAAGAGCGCGUAGGCGGCCAGAUAGGUCAGCUGUGAAAACUCGAGGCUCAACCUCGAGAUGUCGGCUGAAACCAUUUGGCUAGAGUCCGGAAGAGGAGAAUGGAAUUCCCGGUGUAGCGGUGAAAUGCGCAGAUAUCGGGAAGAACACCCGUGGCGAAGGCGGUUCUCUGGGACGGUACUGACGCUGAGGCGCGAAAGCGUGGGGAGCGAACAGG